GUUCAAACAAGUCAAUAAAACUAAACUUCGGAGCCAAGCAGUCACGGUGGGAAAAUGACCACUUAAAGAUUGCCAAGAGAAAAGACAAGCACGUUGAACUUCAAAUGGUGAUGGAGAGACCAGACAUUAAGUUCCUUUAAAUCAAGGCCCUGCUCAUCCUUAUAUCUCCAGCAUCAAUCACAUGCCUGGCACACAGCAGGCACUCAAUGAUGAUUUGUUACAUAAGAUCCUGUUAUACUGGAAAAUUAUGGAGAGCAAAUGACACAAUCGAUACAGUGUUUAGCCCAGUGCCUUCACAGAGGCAAUCUCCAAAACAUUCUAGGCGAAAAAGAACCUUCCACUAUCUCUUACUGUGAAGCUCAUUACUGGACCUUUUACAAUCUGUGGAAUCCAAAUGAAGCAAGCACCACCAGGUCUCAGAAGGGAGUGCAGCUCUUCCUAAUAAGAUUUCAAUCAGGCAAUAUAAAAUCUGGAGCCACUAUGUAGAGACAGCUGGUAAUAGUAAAGCAGCCGCAGAAGAAAUUGGAGUAAAAAGAUGCGAAGAGGCCAAAUCCUGAUGACAUUUGCUGAACUGUUGAACCGUUUGGUCUAGCCAGCGCUGCUUCAGGUUUUCCAAGUUUAUAAGCUGGUACAUUUCAGUUUUUAGAUACUUGCAACCAAAAAAUCCUAAUAUAACUACCAACAGAGCAUCUGGUAUACUGGAAAACAUUCACUGAACUAUUAAAAGGAAUCCUCACAAAGUGAUAUUUGUCCAAGUGUCAAAGUCCUAAAACUCAAAUGGAGACGACGAUCAGCUUUCACACUCUUCGCUUCAGUUUUAAGACAGUACUUGGAAUGUGUUUGCUAAAGACAGACAGAACUUUCUGUUCUCCUCUAGCACAUAACACAAUCAGAGGGAAGAUGCAUUGUGGUUGAAUAAUGCAUGAGGUAGC
rnacentral:lncRNA from 1 species